GUGACUUUAAUGUUUAACGGCCGCGGUAUUUUGACCGUGCAAAGGUAGCGCAAUCACUUGUCUUUUAAAUGGAGACCUGUAUGAAUGGCAUCACGAGGGCUUAACUGUCUCCUUUCUUUGACCAAUGAAAUUGAUCUCCCCGUGCAGAAGCGGGGAUAAAAGCAUAAGACGAGAAGACCCUAUGGAGCUUUAGACACCAAGACAGCUUAUGUUAAGCAUCCCUGUUACAAAGGACUAAACUAGGUAAACCCUGUCCUAAUGUCUUUGGUUGGGGCGACCUUGGGGAAAUAAACAACCCCCACGUGGAACGGAAACAUGUUUCCAAAACCAAGAGCUACCGCUCUAAGGAGCAGAACUUCUGACCAGUCAGAUCCGGCAAAGCCGAUCAGCGGACCGAGUUACCCUAGGGAUAACAGCGCAAUCCCCUUUUAGAGUCCAUAUCGACAAGGGGGUUUACGACCUCGAUGUUGGAUCAGGACAUCCUAAUGGUGCAGCCGCUA
rnacentral:rRNA from 1 species